AUCGCUUCUCGGCCUUUUGGCUAAGAUCAAGUGUAGUAUCUGUUCUUAUCAGUUUAAUAUCUGAUACGCCCCCGAUUCGGGGCAACGUAUUAAACGCGGAUCCCACAUUUUUAGAACAGGGAGCUGAAUAAGGGGCUCGCUCCGUUCGCUCCACGCAUCGACCCGGUAUUGCAGCGCCUCCGGGAACGGUGCCCCCUUU
rnacentral:snRNA from 1 species